AAAAGGCACUGGCACAUGCCUGUGGUCCCAGCUAUUCAGGAGUCUGAGGCAGGAGGAUCAGUUGAGCCCAGGAGUUCCGGGCUGUAGUGCACUUUGCUGAUCUGGUGAGUGCAAUGAGUUCGGCAUCAAUAUGGUGACCUCCUAGGGGACCACCAAGGUGCAUAAAGAAGGGUAAACCAGCCCAGGUUAGAAAUGGAACAGGUCAAAACUCCCGUGCUGGUUAGUACUAGGAUUGCACCUGUGAAUAGCCACUGUACUCCAGCCUGGGCAUCACAGCAAGGCCCCGUAU
rnacentral:SRP_RNA from 10 species